rnacentral:rRNA from 1 species
GGCUUAAUUUGACUCAACGCGGGAAAUCUUACCAGGUCCAGACAUAUUGAGGAUUGACAGGUGAUAGCAUAAUAAGUUUACUUAUUAUGUACAAAUAUGAUAGUCCUUUCAUGAUUAUAUGAUAGGUGGUGCAUGGCCGUUCUUAGUUCGUGGAGUGAUCUGUCUGCUUAAUUGCGUUUCACUAAAUAUAAAAUAGUAAUGCUAUUUUAUUAUAUUCAAUGUUCUGCCUUAAUCGGAUUGUGAACUUGUUUUAAUAAUUAGUUUACUAUAUAAAUGUGAAUGCAACGAACGUGACUAUAACCUUUUGUUGCAGUAUUUUAUAUGCAUUUUUUAAUUUAUUAAAAUAUGUAUUAUACUGCUUAAAACUAAAGGAACCGCUGUCUAAAAUUUAGUCUUAAAACAGAGGAAGAUUAUGGCAAUAACAGGUCUGUGAUGCC